rnacentral:lncRNA from 1 species
UUGCAUCACUGAGAGACAAAGCUUGAAAGAGGAUCCCUUUAACUUCAACGUCUUGAAUAUCACACUAGAAGUCAUCAGGCAAGCUAUACUCUCUAGAAUUAUCUUUUGUGGUAGAAUAUUUUCUCUACCAUACACUUUUCAACAUACUUUUUUUUAGUAUCGAUUGAAAUUCACAUAGGCUCCAUUAAGGCAACGUUUAGUAUGAGCAAAUUGAUAUAUUUCCCCAACUUAGAUCAAUUUAACAAGGGCCAUUGAUUUAAUACUAAUAAAUAUCAAUGGAUAUGAUUGCUCUAAAAUGUUUACCUAAAACAUGGAUGAGAUUUUAAUAUUAAAAAACUAAUGUACACUUUUUGAAAUUGUACAAAUCACCUAGUUUUUUUUUUUUUUUUAUAGAUUUAUAGAUUUGCAACAUGUAGAAAACGGUGUUAUUUUAUUUUCCGUUACUAUGUUUUUUUUAAUCAAAAUAAAUAUUCCAUUUUUCUUUAUUAUUUAAAAAAACUUGAUAAAUGUUAGUAGUAGUUGGUAGUAGUUUGGAUUGGAACUUUGAAUCUCUAACAACUUUAACUCUUAAUAAUGAUAAUCGUAAUAGUUAUUUUACCAAUAAUAUGAUUUUUUUUGAAAGAUUAAUCAUAUGAAUUUUGAUGAUGUAGAUUUUAUCUUUUUUAUGAACCAGGUGAUAUUCAUAUAAAAAAUAUAUAACCAAGAAUGUGUUUUAAAAAAAUUAUUAUAUUUUUUUAAAAAAAAAAUACUAUUAUUUAAUUAUACAAAGAUUACUGUUUGAAUUUAUAAUUUUUGGAAUGAAGAUCCAAAGCUGCAAAAUUCUCUAAAUCCAUGAUUAGAUGUUGUUGGGUUCGACUGACAUUGAGAACGUUCGACAUGAGCCAUGAUUCGACAGAAAGUUAAUUUAGUGAAGAGGUUGGCUUCAAAUGUCCAGGACGUGGGAGACAGGCAGUUUCCGGUCGAGGAAGUGCGGUUCUUAAUAGUUUAAUUUUUGCAGUUAUUUCUUCUAUGUAUAAAUAAUAGUUUUUCAUGAAAAAAAGAGGUCGUAAAUCAUUUAUAAAAUUCUAUCACUCGAAGUACCGACGU